AGUGAACGCUGGCGGUAGGCCUAACACAUGCAAGUCGAACGGCAGCACAGUAAGAGCUUGCUCUUACGGGUGGCGAGUGGCGGACGGGUGAGGAAUACAUCGGAAUCUACUUUUUCGUGGGGGAUAACGUAGGGAAGCUUACGCUAAUACCGCAUACGACGUACGGGUGAAAGCAGGGGAUAUUCGGACCUUGCCCGAUUGAUUUAGCCGAUGUCGGAUUAGCUAGUUGGCGGGGUAAAGGCCCACCAAGGCGAGGAUCCGUAGCGGGUCUGAGCGGAUGAUCAGCCACACUGGAACUGAGACACGGUCCAGACUCCUACGGGAGGCAGCAGUGGGGAAUAUUGGACAAUGGGCGCAAGCCUGAUCCAGCCAUACCGCGUGGGUGAAGAAGGCCUUCGGGUUGUAAAGCCCUUUUGUUGGGAAAGAAAAGCAGCAGGUUAAUACCCCGCUGUUCUGACGGUACCCAAAGAAUAAGCACCGGCUAACUUCGUG
rnacentral:rRNA from 1 species